UGAUUCGAAAGGCAAGACAUCUGAAAAGAUGAUCACGCAAAGCUUCAGGUCUAACGGGGAAACCCUACGAUAGCUGGGCUGCCAUC
rfam:Arsukibacterium sp. MJ3 EFN4V4Q4, whole genome shotgun sequence.